GGCCCCACCCCCAGUCUCUGAUUCAGUAGGUCUAGGGUGGGUCUGAGAAUCUGCACUUCCAACCAGCUCCCAGCUGAGUCCAAUGCCAAUGCUCCUGGUCCACGGACCACACUUUGAGACCUGCUGGCCCUUCGUUCCCUGGGCUCCCCCAUCUGGUAUGAGUGAGGUGUAGAGAGGGCUGGAGACACACAGGCUUUGUUCCAAUGGAAAUCACAGCAGCAACUGCUCCAUGCCAGGUCCCAUGCUGAGGUGUGUGCAUUUUCUUAUCUUCACAACCAACAUCGCAGUAGGUUUUACUAGUAUUACCUCUGCUUUAUGAUGAGAAACAAGGCUCAGAGAGGGUGCACAGGGCUUUAGAAUCAAACAGAUCUGGGGUCGGACCCCAGCUCUGCCACUGACCCACUGUUGCAAGCUUGUGGGCAAGUGCUUACCCUCCCUGAACCUCUGACUCAUCAGUAAAUGGGGAUCACAGAUGUGAUUCCCAAGGGCACUAUGAGGCAAUUAUAAGAGCACCUGCACGUAGUAGGUAUGCAAAAAAUGUUCAUCCUCCUUCCUGUCAUAAGCCCCAUCAUGAUCUCAAGGUCCUUUUCUUAUUACUUACUUAUUUAUUUAUAGAGCGUGCCCUCACGUGCACACAAGUGGGAGAGGAGUAGAGGGAGAGGGAAGGAGAGAAUCCCAAACAGGCUACAGGCCCAGUGAGGAGCCCAACAUGGGGUUCGAUUCCAGGACUGUGAGAUCACAACCUGAACCGAAAUUAAGAGUCAGACACUUAACCAACUGAGCCACCCAGGCGCCCCUCAAGGUCCUUUUCUGUCUCCUCUGUAUGGCAGUGCUUUUCUCACUCCACUGCUCCAGAGAAACUCCUAUUUAUCCUUCAAAACCCACCUUAGAAUCCCCUCCUCUUUGUAUCUGUCCCCGAAAUGUUGUCCUCUUCCAGUUUUUGGAAAGAAAAAAAAUCUAGGAUGGUAGCAUCUGGUUUGAAAAAGGAAUUCAACGCAUUACUUUCCUUCCUUUCUUCCUCCUUCACUUGUGUUUCCACAGCGUUUAUAUCAAGCACAAUUUGGAGUACAAAUGAUGCUCUCCCAGGGACCAGGUGGCUAAUGUCACCAUUAUCAGCAUCAGCAUCAUCAACACUUAGAUAGUAUGCACCAUGCCCCAGACACUGUUUUAAGAGGCUUACAUUCUUGACUCAUUCAAAACCUAAAAUAACCUUUUGAGGCAAGUGCUACUUAUUAUCACACAAUUAAUUUGUGGCAGAGAUGGGAUGUAAAAGCUGGCUGUGAGUUUAUGUUACUAAGUUUUGUGUUAUGUGGUCAUUAUGAAGGAGGCCAGGUGGGGACUGUGGCACCUUGGAAGGUGCCCAUCUCAUCUAAGGGGGCAGCCAAAUGUUGGGCCCAGAGUUGUCUGUUUCUCUGAUUUCUCAAGAGGAUCCAGAGAUAGAGAUUUUUAUGUGACAUCUCCCACUUUUUAACAUUUGAGAGUCAUCUAAAAUACAAGAAGGAGGGUGGGCCUCACAAAAGCUGCCCAUGGGCCUCCUUUGCAACUUCUGUCUCUUGUAUCUCCAAGGUGGGGACCUUGGCUCCUUCAUUUCUGCAUCUUAGCUCAACAGGUGUGCAGUUCACCUGCUGCAGAGGCUUCUGGACUCCUCUGAGCUGAGCUUGGUGCUCAGUAGCCAGGAAUCUCAUCCUCCAGCCCACUCAGCACUCAGGAUUCUCCAGUCUGGAUUUGGGGUGUGGACAAGAAAUGAUGGACCCAAUGGUGACUCUGGGUGUCACCUCCACCCAGGGGCCAUCUCUGGGUCUCUCCCUGUCCCAGACAAGACUUCCUACUUAGGGCUGACAAGGCUCUGAGUAUUUUGUUUCAUCACCCCACGAAUGCACUCCAUAGUUUUGGGAGGUUGCCAUUAACCUCACCCCCAUGGUACAGAUGAGAAAGCUAUGGCUCACACAGGGGAAGGGACUUGUCCCAGCCAGGAAGCGGUGGACCUAGGAUGGUAAUGCAAGCACCACCGCAUUCCAGCUUCUCCCCAGAUGGCUGUUCACAGGCAUUCCACCAAACUAUGGAUGGUCUUGGCACACAUUCCAACACAAGCGCACUCUCAUCGCACAGACCAGACCCGGAAGGAAAGUUUGUGUGACACAAACAGGACCUUGGAUACUCCCAUCUGCUAGCCAUCUUUCCUAACUACCUGUCUCCUACUGGAAGUUGGGGGCGGCAUUGGGGGCAUCUGGAGAGAAUCCCUGGAUGCCGACCCUUUUGGGAACUCUGCCCACUGGUGCCUGGACAGGCAGAGCUUGUGGCCUGGCUCGAUCCCAGGCUUUUGGGCUCAGCAGAGAUCGCAGCGAGAGAGGGUGUCGUGUUCGUGUUUGCCUAAAGACAGGACAGAAGUGUGCAUAUGUGCACCUGUGCAUGUGCGUGUGUGUGUGGUGCACACACGUGUGAACCUGCGCACGUGUACAUGCGGCGACCUGCACGGUAGCAUGUAUGCAAAUCGUACACGUUCUGUGCGCAUGUGCAUGGGCAGACGUCUUGUGCGCAUGUACACGUGUGGACGCCUUGUGCGCAUGUGUAAAUACAAGCACGUGAGAAACGGAGAGGCGAGCACGUUGUACCACAAAUUCAGAUCCUGUGACGUUAGUGUACGACAAAGAACGAAAAUCUUUCUUAACCCAGAGAUGUCGAUUUACGGAAAAAGGUGAAGUAGAAAACAGCCCCGGGAAUUUUUAUGACCAGGAGGAGUGAGGCACUGAGCAUCCAUUCAUUUAUUCUACUUCAGGAAACAGAAACUUACUGUCAGCCAAUUUCAAGUCUAAUGAUGACCCAUAUGCUGAAGACUCCCAAAUCAAUAUCUCCAGCAUCUUCGCUGAAAUCUAAGCACACACUUAUCUGUCUUCUUGACCGUGUCACAUGGAUGUUCAACAGGCAUCUCCAAAUGAAUAAUUAUCCAAAACUGAACUCUGGAAUUUUCUUCCCAACCCUGCUUUUAUAGUUUUCUCCAUCACCGGAAUUUCUAGCAUCAUGG